rnacentral:rRNA from 1 species
ACGAACGCUGGCGGCUUGCUUAACACAUGCCGGUCGAACGGAAAGGCCCUGCUUGCCGGGUACUCGAGUGGCGAACGGGUGAGUAACACGUGGGUGAUCUGCCCUGCACUUCGGGAUAAGCCUGGGAAACUGGGUCUAAUACCGGAUAGGAGCCAUUUUUAGUGUGAUGGUUGGAAAGUUUUUUCGGUGUAGGAUGAGCUCGCGGCCUAUCAGCUUGUUGGUGGGGUAAUGGCCUACCAAGGCGGCGACGGGUAGCCGGCCUGAGAGGGUGGACGGCCACAUUGGGACUGAGAUACGGCCCAGACUCCUACGGGAGGCAGCAGUGGGGAAUAUUGCACAAUGGGCGCAAGCCGGAUGCAGCGACGCCGCGUGGGGGAUGACGGCCUUCGGGUUGUAAACUCCUUUCGCUAGGGACGAAGCUUUUUGUGACGGUACCUAGAUAAGAAGCACCGGCUAACUACGUG